CAGCGAUCGCCCUAAUAACGGCGAGUGAAGCGGCAACAGCUCAAAUGCGAAAGCUCGCCUUCGGGUCCGCAUCGUAAUUCGUAGAGGAGGCCACGGGUGAAACGCCAGUAUAAGGCCCCUGGAACAGGACGUCAUAGAGGGUGAGAAUCCAGUAUGGUGACGGGAAAUGUUAACCUAGGUAAAGCUCCUUCGACGGCUAGAGUUGUUCGGGAAUGCAGCUCUAACUGGGAGGUAAAUCUCUUCCAAAGCUAAAUAUUGGCGAGAGACCGAUAGCGCACAAGUAGAGUGAUCGAAAGAUGAAAAGCACUUAGGAAAAAAAGUUAAAAACCACGUGAAAUUGUUGAAAGGAAAACGCUUGCAAUCAAACUAGUUUAAACUGUUCGGCCGGUCUUCUGACCGGACUACUCACUUUGGAUCAGGCCAGCAUCAUGUUCGGCGGCCGGAUAAAGGCUCUUGCGAACCGUGGCCUUCACUACGGUGAACGUGGUAUAGCCCGAAGGGGUAAUACGGCCAGCCG
rnacentral:rRNA from 1 species